rnacentral:rRNA from 1 species
AUACGUAGGUGGCAAGCGUUAUCCGGAUUCACUGGGCGUAAAGCGCGUGCAGGCGGUUUCGUAAGUCGGACGUGAAAGCUCCUGGCUUAACUGGGAGAGGUCGUUCGAUACUGCGGGGCUUGAGGUCGGGAGAGGGACGUGGAAUUCCCGGUGUAGUGGUGGAAUGCGUAGAUAUCGGGGGGAACACCAGUGGCGAAGGCGACGUCCUGGCCCGCACCUGACGCUGAGACGCGAAAGCGUGGGUAGCGAACGGGAUUAGAUACCCCGGUAGUCCACGCUGUAAACGGUGGGUACUAGGUGUUGGUGGCUAUCGUCAUCAGUGCCGUAGCUAACGCGUUAAGUACCCCGCCUGGGGACUACGGCCGCAAGGCUAAA